GUUUAGCCCCGAUGGAAGCGAUAUCCUUUUCCUGAAUCCUUUAGCCAGGAAAAGAUUUAGCGGACAGCGGGACUGAAU
rnacentral:sRNA from 1 species